rnacentral:lncRNA from 1 species
CUGUCUCCUCCUAACGGGCAUGCAGGCAACCCAGGUGCCUUAGGUAAGUGACCCCAUUCCCUGCCCUGCCUUGGAGGGCCGGAUGAGUCAAAGAGUAAUCUUAUCCCUCUGCUAGUGAGUACAAAUGAAGUCUGUGGGCCAACAAGGAGCGAGGAGCAGUUUCCUGGAAGCCCUGGGCUGGUGUUUGACUUGCUUUGAGAUAGAAUAAAUGGGAGAAAGAGACUUUAUGGGACAUCUGGGCCUAGGGCUCCUGGAUGCUGUGCUGAAAACACCACGUACAGAAGCCAGUCUAACCUUCUGGAUGAUGAGAGCCCAGAUGCAGUACAGAGGUGCCCCAGCCAACAAUCAGCUGCUAUCUGAAUCCCAUCUGGAUCCCAUCUGAAUCCCAUGUCACCAUGAAUGAGGCCACCUUAGCCCAGCCAGCACAGCUGAAAGCCAGAAGCAGCCGCAUGCACAAGCCCAGGGGAAGCCCACAGAGGAACCACCAGCCAACACACAGAAUUGCAAGCAGUUAAGCAACUAAGAUUAAGACAACAAUUUUAAAAUGAACCAGGUCCGGCCGGGUGCGGUGGCUCUCAGGCCUGUAAUCCCAGCACUUUGGGAGGCCGAAGCGAGCGGGUCACCGGAGGUUGGGAGUUCGAGACCAGCCUGACCAACAUGGAGAAACCCCGUCUCUACUAAAAAU